UACGUAGGUGGCGAGCGUUGUCCGGAUUUACUGGGCGUAAAGAGCGCGCAGGCGGUCGUCCAAGUCGCGUGUGAAAGCCCCCGGCUCAACUGGGGAGGGUCACGCGAUACUGAUCGACUCGAAGGCAGGAGAGGGAAGCGGAAUUCCCGGUGUAGUGGUGAAAUGCGUAGAUAUCGGGAGGAACACCAGUGGCGAAGGCGGCUCUCUGGAACGCAACUGACGCUGAGACGCGAAAGCGUGGGGAGCAACAGG
rnacentral:rRNA from 1 species